rnacentral:rRNA from 1 species
CCUACGGGAGGCAGCAGUGAGGAAUAUUGGUCAAUGGACGAGAGUCUGAACCAGCCAAGUAGCGUGAAGGAUGACUGCCCUAUGGGUUGUAAACUUCUUUUAUAUGGGAAUAAAACGUUCCACGUGUGGGAUUUUGUAUGUACCAUAUGAAUAAGGAUCGGCUAACUCCGUGCCAGCAGCCGCGGUAAUACGGAGGAUCCGAGCGUUAUCCGGAUUUAUUGGGUUUAAAGGGAGCGUAGGUGGAUUGUUAAGCCAGUUGUGAAAGUUUGCGGCUCAACCGUAAAAUUGCAGUUGAAACUGGCAGUCUUGAGUACAGUAGAGGUGGGCGGAAUUCGUGGUGUAGCGGUGAAAUGCUUAGAUAUCACGAAGAACUCCGAUUGCGAAGGCAGUUCACUGGACUGCAACUGACACUGAGGCUCGAAAGUGUGGGUAUCAAACAGGAUUAGAUACCCCUGUAGUC